GACAGAGGGUGCAAACGUUGUUCGGAAUUACUGGGCGUAAAGCGCGUGUAGGCUGCUUGGAAAGUCGGAUGUGAAAGCCCUGGGCUCAACCUAGGAAGUGCAUUCGAAACUUCUGAGCUUGAGUUCUGGAGAGGAAGGCGGAAUUCUCGGUGUAGAGGUGAAAUUCGUAGAUAUCGAGAGGAACACCGGUGGCGAAGGCGGCCUUCUGGACAGUGACUGACGCUGAGACGCGAAAGCGUGGGGAGCGAACAGG
rnacentral:rRNA from 1 species